rnacentral:rRNA from 1 species
AUUGAACGCUGGCGGCAGGCCUAACACAUGCAAGUCGAGCGGAUGAAGGGAGCUUGCUCCUGGAUUCAGCGGCGGACGGGUGAGUAAUGCCUAGGAAUCUGCCUGGUAGUGGGGGAUAACGUCCGGAAACGGGCGCUAAUACCGCAUACGUCCUGAGGGAGAAAGUGGGGGAUCUUCGGACCUCACGCUAUCAGAUGAGCCUAGGUCGGAUUAGCUAGUUGGUGGGGUAAAGGCCUACCAAGGCGACGAUCCGUAACUGGUCUGAGAGGAUGAUCAGUCACAGUGGAGGUGGUAGACGGUGCGGACACGUACGGGGAGAAGAAGGGGGGAAGAGUGGAGGGGGGGGGAAAGGGUGAUGCAGAGAUGGGGGUGGUGGGGAGAAGUUCUUGGGAUUGAAGAGGACUGUAUGGUGGGAGGAGGGGUAAGAUGUUAAUGUCUGGUUGGUGGGACGUACAGAACAGAAUAAGCACCGGCUAACGUCGUGCCAGCAGCCGCGGUAAUACUCGGAAGAGCACGCGGCUGUAC